rnacentral:rRNA from 1 species
AUUGAACGCUGGCGGCAGGCCUAACACAUGCAAGUCGAGCGGAUGAAGGGAGCUCGCUCCUGGCUUCAGCGGCGGACGGGUGAGUAAUGCCUAGGAAUCUGCCUGGUAGUGGGGGAUAACGUCCGGAAACGGGCGCUAAUACCGCAUACGUCCUGAGGGAGAAAGUGGGGGAUCUUCGGACCUCACGCUAUCAGAUGAGCCUAGGUCGGAUUAGCUAGUUGGUGGGGUAAAGGCCUACCAAGGCGACGAUCCGUAACUGAUCUGAGAGGAUGAUCAGUCACACUGGAACUGAGACACGGUCCAGACUCCUACGGGAGGCAGCAGUAGGGAAUAUUGGACAAUGGGCGAAAGCCUGAUCCAGCCAUGCCGCGUGUGUGAAGAAGGUCUUCGGAUUGUAAAGCACUUUAAGUUGGGAGGAAGAGCAGUAAGUUAAUACCUUGCUGUUUUGACGUUACCAACAGAAUAAGCACCGGCUAACUUCGUG